rnacentral:tRNA from 1 species
CGGGGUAUAGCUCAAUGGUAGAGCGUUCGGUUCGGGACCGAAAGGUUGCCGGUUCAAAUCCGGCUACCCCGA